rnacentral:rRNA from 1 species
AGUGAACGCUGGCGGUAGGCCUAACACAUGCAAGUCGAACGGCAGCACAGGAGAGCUUGCUCUCUGGGUGGCGAGUGGCGGACGGGUGAGGAAUACAUCGGAAUCUACUUUUUCGUGGGGGAUAACGUAGGGAAACUUACGCUAAUACCGCAUACGACCUACGGGUGAAAGCAGGGGCUCUUCGGACCCUGCGCGAUUGAAUGAGCCGAUGUCGGAUUAGCUAGUUGGCGGGGUAAAGGCCCGCCAAGGCGACGAUCCGUAGCUGGUCUGAGAGGAUGAUCAGCCACACUGGAACUGAGACACGGUCCAGACUCCUACGGGAGGCAGCAGUGGGGAAUAUUGGACAAUGGGCGCAAGCCUGAUCCAGCCAUACCGCGUGGGUGAAGAAGGCCUUCGGGUUGUAAAGCCCUUUUGUUGGGAAAGAAAUCCAGCUGGUUAAUACCCGGUUGGGAUGACGGUACCCAAAGAAUAAGCACCGGCUAACUUCGUGCCAGCCGCCGCAGUAA